GAGGUAGUGACAAGAAAUAACAAUACGGGGCUUAAAGUCUUGUAAUUGGAAUGAUGGGAAUUUAAACCUCUUCCAGAGUAUCAAUUGGAGGGCAAGUCUGGUGCCAGCAGCCGCGGUAAUUCCAGCUCCAAUAGCGUAUAUUAAAAUUGUUGCAGUUAAAAAGCUCGUAGUUGAAUUUCUGCUGCAUCGCUGUGUCCCUUCGGGGUCUCUGCAUGUGGCUUAUUUCGGACGGAGUUCGCUUUGUCUGGAUGUUUACUUUGAGAAAAUUAGAGUGCUCAAAGCAGGCUUUUGCCUUGAAUAGUUUAGCAUGGAAUAAUAAAGUAGGACUUUGGUUCUAUUUUGUUGGUUUUAGGUACCAAAGUAAUGGUUAAUAGGAACAGUUGGGGGCAUUCGUAUUUAACUGUCAGAGGUGAAAUUCUUAGAUUUGUUAAAGACGAACUACUGCGAAAGCAUUUGCCAAGGAUGUUUUCAUUAAUCAAGAACGAAAGUUAGGGGA
rnacentral:rRNA from 1 species